UGGGGAAUAUUGCACAAUGGGCGCAAGCCUGAUGCAGCCAUGCCGCGUGUAUGAAGAAGGCCUUCGGGUUGUAAAGUACUUUCAGUCGGGAGGAAGGUGGUAAGGUUAAUAACCUUAUCAAUUGACGUUACCGACAGAAGAAGCACCGGCUAACUCCGUUCCAGCAGCCGCGGUAAUACGGAGGGUGCAAGCGUUAAUCGGAAUUACUGGGCGUAAAGCGCACGCAGGCGGUUGAUUGAGUCAGAUGUGAAAUCCCCGGGCUUAACCCGGGAAUUGCAUCUGAUACUGGUCAGCUAGAGUCUUGUAGAGGGGGGUAGAAUUCCAUGUGUAGCGGUGAAAUGCGUAGAGAUCUGGAGGAAUACCGGUGGCGAAGGCGGCCCCCUGGACGAAGACUGACGCUCAGGUGCGAAAGCGUGGGGAGCAAACAGG
rnacentral:rRNA from 1 species